rnacentral:rRNA from 1 species
GACGAACGCUGGCGGCGUGCCUAACACAUGCAAGUCGAACGGGGUAUUUCUUCGGAGAUACUUAGUGGCGAACGGGUGAGUAACGCGUGAGAAACCUGCCUUUCAGUGGGGGACAACAGUUGGAAACGACUGCUAAUACCGCAUAAUGUUAUUUGGGGCAUCCCCGAAUAACCAAAGAUUUAUUGCUGAAAGAUGGCCUCGCGUCUGAUUAGCUAGUUGGUGGGGUAACGGCCCACCAAGGCGACGAUCAGUAGCCGGUCUGAGAGGAUGAACGGCCACAUUGGGACUGAGAUACGGCCCAGACUCCUACGGGAGGCAGCAGUGGGGGAAUAUUGGGGCCAAAUGGACGCAAGUCUGACCCAGCAACGCCGCGUUGAAGGAAGAAGGCUUUCGGGUUGUAAACUUCUUUAUCAGGGAAGAGUAGAAGACUGUACUCGGCGAAUAAGCCACGGCUAACUACGUG